UACGUAGGGCGCAAGCGUUGUCCGGAUUCACUGGGUUUAAAGGGUGCGUAGGUGGGCUUGUAAGUCAGUGGUGAAAUCUCCGAGCUUAACUUGGAAACUGCCAUUGAUACUAUAAGUCUUGAAUAUUGUGGAGGUCAGCGGAAUAUGUCAUGUAGCGGUGAAAUGCUUAGAUAUGACAUAGAACACCAAUUGCGAAGGCAGCUGGCUACGCAUAUAUUGACACUGAGGCACGAAAGCGUGGGGGAUCAAACAGG
rnacentral:rRNA from 1 species